UACGUAGGGUGCGAGCGUUGUCCGGAUUUAUUGGGCGUAAAGAGCGUGUAGGCGGCUAGAUAGGUCCGUUGUGAAAACUCGAGGCUCAACCUCGAGACGUCGAUGGAAACCAUCUGGCUAGAGUCCGGAAGAGGCGAGUGGAAUUCCUGGUGUAGCGGUGGAAUGCGCAGAUAUCUGGAGGAACACCGGUGGCGAAGGCGGCAUCCUGGACCGACACUGACGCUGAGGCGCGAAAGCUAGGGUAGCAAACGGG
rnacentral:rRNA from 1 species